CUGUGACCUGAGCUCCAGGACUUCGCUGAGGCCUGCUCGCUGUCGGCCAAGUCCUGUUGUGGUAGUUCGUGCUCUGCCACACAGACGGUGCCGGGCUAAGGCAGUGUUUGAGGGGCUGCUUCCCAGCGGCUUUCAUGGGCUCGUCACAGCCGCUCCUCAGUCUUCCAGGACACAAGAAAUUGCUACGAGCAGAGCAGUGAUCUGGAGUGGCAUCUGCUUGACCCUCAGCUUCAGAAUUCAAGGCCCGGGUGACACAGCCGGUCUGGGGGCGCGGACCUAGAUCAGCGUCUCCCCAGUAACCCCGUGACUAAGUCCCAGGAGCUCCAGGAGGCUGCCCAAGUCCCCAGGGCUGUGACUGCUGACACCAGGAUGCGGCCGUGCUCACUCAGAAAAACACUGUUUGCAGUAGAGGAAACUGGCAUUGCAGUCUGGUGGUUUGUCCAAAAGAAGGCCAUACAGGCUCUCG
rnacentral:lncRNA from 1 species